AUUGAACGCUGGCGGCAGGCUUAACACAUGCAAGUCGAGCGAGCGGCGGACGGGUGAGUAAUGUCUGGGAAACUGCCUGCUGGAGGGGGAUAACUACUGGAAACGGUAGCUAAUCCCGCAUACCAUCAGAUGUGCCCAGAUGGGACUAGCUAGUAGGUGGGGUAAUGGCUCACCUAGGCGACGAUCCCUAGCUGGUCUGAGAGGAUGACCAGCCAAACUGGAACUGAGACACGGUCCAGAGUCCUACAGGAGGCAGCAGGGGAGAAGAGGGCACAAUGGGCGCAAGCGUGAUGCAGCCAUGCCGCGUGUGUGAAGAAGGCAUUCGGGUUGUAAAGUACUUUCAGCGAGGAGGCGGUACUCGCAGAAGAAGCACCGGCUAACUCCGUGCCAGCAGCCGCGGUAAUAC
rnacentral:rRNA from 1 species